rnacentral:rRNA from 1 species
UGCAAGUCGCACGAGAAUUUAGGUUCGCCUAAUAGUAAAGUGGCGCACGGGUGCGUAACACGUAGCUAACCUCCCCCUUCGCUGGGGACAACAUCGGGAAACCGAUGCUAAUACCGAAUGAUCUGUUAGAGUCUGUGGACUUUACCGGUAAAGCCGUAAGGCGCGAAGGGAUGGGGCUGCGGUCUAUUAGCUAGUUGGUAGGGUAAUGGCCUACCAAGGCUACGAUAGAUAGCUGGUCUGAGAGGAUGAUCAGCCACACUGGAACUGAAACACGGUCCAGACUCCCACGGGAGGCAGCAGUUGGGAAUAUUGGACAAUGGGGGUAACCCUGAUCCAGCAAUUCCGCGUGAGUGAUGAAGGCCCUCGGGUCGUAAAGCUCUUUUAGUAGGGACGAAGGGAAACUUGACGGUACCUACAGAAAAAGCACCGGCUAACUCUGUGCCAGCAGCCGCGGUAAUACAGAGGGUGCAAGCGUUGUUCGGAAUCAUUGGGCGUAAAGCGCGUGUAGGUGGCUCUCUAAGUUUGGUGUGAAAGCCCGAGGCUUAACUUCGGAAGUGCACUGAAUACUGGAGAACUAGAGGACGAGAGAGGAUAAUGGAAUUCAUGGUGUAGGGGUGAAAUCCGUAGAUAUCAUGAGGAACAUCUGUGGCGAAGCGAUUAUCUGGCUCGUUUCUGACACUGAGACGCGAAAGCGUGGGGAGCAAACAGGAUUAGAUACCCUGUAGUCCACGCCCUAAACGAUGAAUACUAUUGUCGGGAUACCUAAUUGUCUCGGUGACGCAGCUACGCAUUAAGUAUUCCGCCGGGGAUUACGUCGCAGAUUAAAACUCAAAGGAAUUGACGGGGGCCCGCACAAGCGGGGAGCAUGUGGUUUAUU